CCAGGAGCUCAUCUGAUCCCUUUGUCUCCAACACCUUCAGUUGUCAACUUUGCAGAGGAGGGGCCCAGGCGAUCAGUUGCUAGGGGACAACGUGUCAGGCAUUUCGGAACACUGGCACUUUG